GCCCAGGCCCGUGCCCGAGUGCGUAAGGCCGGUGCCCCUGACCCCCCACCCGGUGCACGCCGCGCCAGCCGCCCGGACCCUCGCGCCACGGCACCAGCCCACCGACCCUAAGAGCAUAGGUGCGCCAGAUUUAGAAGGAACAGAGCCGGCGCCGAGGGCAUGGCGGGGUGCAGGGGCGGCGCCCGCGAGGUCGCAUCCAGGGCCGGAGCACUCUGCGCCGACGCUCACCAGCCGCGCCAUCACGCUACUUCUCAUUGUAGUAGUGGUGUACUGCACUACCGCCUUAUGGAAGAGGUUCGCGCGUAAGAUCCGCAGGCGACGUCUGAUGGCACUCGCCACCUAGCACAAGGCAAAGUUUUGCAGGACCAAAAACCACGGCUGACGGUGUCGUCGGCGACAUAAAAAAUUAAAGUAUUUACGGGGCCAAAGUAAAUGAUAGUGAUGAUUAGUUCCGAUGAUGAUGAUGUGGUCCAAGGAUACUCAAGACUUCGUAGCAUCAAGUGCUAUAUUUCAAUCAAGUGACAGUUGUACAGUGCGGAAGUUGUUUGAAGCUUAGCACAUCUGAGCAGCGUCGUUGGUGGCGGGACUGUAUUUUCAUGCUGGUGUCACACUAACGACUAAUGACAUUGAAAUUAUCGUAUCAAUGGAUGAGCACCUGAUAAUUGAUUUGACAUAUUUAGAUAUUUGAUUAGAUUAGACAUAUUAUUUAAUAUUUGACGUGGCAUUAAUGAUUUGAUUUCGUUUUAUUACGAUAUUUGCAUUCCUCAUUUAAUUUGAUAAUAAGUAUUAACAUUAACUUUAGUGUGGCCCGGCAUCGGAGCUCCAUUGUUGGACGUAUUAUGACGUUCAUUUUAAAUACAUGCACCAAUAUUUUUGCUGAGAACGUAUAGUCACGUCGCGAUCACUGCACGGGUGUGACUAAAGCUUUAUACGACACGAUGUAAAUAAAUUUGUGAUUUUUACAAUUAACAUACAAUUCUGUUAGAUAUUAUUUACAAACUUUAGUGCAGAAUACAAGUUUCAAAGUCGCGUACUUAACGGUGAUGAACGGUAAUUUUGAUACUGUUUAUAAUUAUUUUUUUUCGAUAUAACUGGCCACAGCAAUUAGAAGCAAUCAUAGCAUUAUAACUGUAAUCAAAUAUUCAUAAAUUGUUUAUUGCAUUUGAUAUGGUACCAGGGUGUAUUAACACACUUUAAAUUUACGUUCGUUUUAUGUUUAAUACCAAUCGAAAGGUAUGGAAACGUUGCGAACAUGUGUACCAUGUUGCAGAAUUUUAGUCGAAUGUUGCGCAUCAAAUGUUCGGUGACAUCGAACGCGCCCGUAUCACUCAUCCAUUACCCGAAAUGCAUACAGCCCUACUGAUUGCUGAGGUUGCCAACCCCAGAUAAUUUUGAACUUUCGUACUUGUUCAAACUAUGUAAUUUAGUAACAAACGGUAGUCGACUUAUCAUUCAAGUGCUGUGUUAGUCUUCAAUUUAUUUAAAUAAUAGUUUAUCUGGAUUAAACUAGUUUAAUGUAGGGUUGCCAAGCGUGAUGGGCAAUUUUAUAUUGCUAUAUUUUAGAUAGGAUUGUAUUGGUUUAUGAAAGGUUUUUUUUUAUAAAGUAUGUAUUUUAGCACAUAAUAGUCCAUAUGGAAUACAUAAAAAUAUAAGAUAAAAUACAAUGAUAAAUAACAGAGAGACUUAACAUUUUCGUAAGGUCUCAUUACACGUACUUUAGUACUUACAUUCUGUAUGUUUGAAUAUUAUAAGACGAAGGAAUUGUGUGUAAACGCGAUGCCCAUGCUAAUUUGGACGUGUGGUAACCCUAACUGCGGCUUUAGCCAUGUUUUUUAGAGUUAAUAAGUCCGGUAGUAUGCCAGGCGUAAGACUGUUAAAUAUACUUAGGUAUGGAACAAGCCGGCCUUUUAUUCUAAUGUUAAUGAAUUGAAUGGUGAAAAUCAUGAAUAUUUUGUAUGUAGAUGGCGCCACUGAAACCUAAGCUUGGGACUGAUAUAAAUAGAAAAAUUUUGUUUUAAAAAAUAUUGUUUGUAGUUUCCGAACGUAAUUUUAUUUCCAUUACAAAUACAUGAAAGUAACAACGGCCUAAAAACACUUCAUUCAAGAAUAAGUUAUUUAUUUUAUAUCAACGAAAUAAGGCAUUAAUAUAAUAUAUUAUAAACUACAUAAUAUAUUACUUAAGUUUUAAUUAUGGAGAUUUGUAUUGUUUCAUUGACAUUCCCAUUUAAUUCAUUUAGCACAGAGGUCAUUUAGCUUGUGAACAUUUUUUACAGACAUUUAUAUUAUAAACUUCAAAUAGUGUAGUGGAGAAUUUUAUGUGCGUUCCAGUGGCGUCCAUAGACGUAACAAUAUUUUUUGUCAAAAUAAUUUAUCAAUGAUUGUGAGACAAUGGUGAAUCUAAUGUAGUUUUUCAUAUUUAUUGUAUUUAAACAAAACUCCGCACAGUUGCUGCAUCAGCAUAUCUUAGUUUAGUCUGUGUUAUAAACUAAGAAUACGGAACACGUUUAGCAAAAAAAAAUGUAUAUGUAACACAGAAGUGAAUAUUUCCACCUACACGUACACUUAAUAGCAAAACUGUGCUGUGAAUCUAGUUUUAUAACACUUGAAUGUUGACGUGUAGUGUAUUCAACAACAGGUUAAGGAAUGUAAACAAUUAUCCACACAUUUAUGUUUAUUGUACAAAUGUAUAAUCCGACCAAAUAACUAAGCCACACUCUAAUUUAUGCUCCCAAAUAAAUAGUUAUAAAAUGACUGCUAUCUACAUUUGUUAUUUAAUACAACUGUAAAAAAAUUAUACUUGAAGUUUGUGAAGGAGGUCCUUAAUUAAUCAAAAAAGUGUAGAUAUGUCAUACUCGAAAAAAUUAAAGGACAAGGGUGUGCUGCACGCACACAUACACAUUUUGGACAUUAAACGUUGUAGUAGCCCUAGCUACCCCAAGAAAAAAGUCCCCGAUUUUAAGCUGUAGUUACCUAAAAAUAGGGUUUCUGCUAAGUCAACCGUGCAAGGACCCUCAUGUAAGCGCGAGGCCUUCAUAGAGCGUAAAGCAACGGGCGGUUACCCCUUAAGGCAACAUGUGUCAUGUAAAACAAUUAACGUAUUGAAACAAGUAUUUUCAUUGCCCUCCUAUAUUAAAAAAAUAAAGUACCAGCAAAAAAGACUCGUAAUAUUUGACAUUUAAGUGUAGUCCAAUCGUCCCAAUUCAGCCAAUUUCCAUUCUUCAGUUUACGUGUGCAAUCUACCUCUGGAUUAUUAGGUAUAAUGCCGUGGUAAUUUAUCCUACAACCUUUAUAAACUACAAAGUUACAGAUGUACAGUCUUACUUAUAAAAAAAUCGCAAAGCUAUGCGUUAAUUAAAAGACAAAUUUACUCAAUCAGCUGGAAGUCAAAAUCCGCCAUCUUGCCUCUUAAUAAAGUUCAAAAUAAGAACCGGUGAUGUUUUUGACAGCUAGUUAAGCAAUUCUUAACCAUCUUAAGGCUAAAACAAGUUUAUAAGUGAGACUGAUAAUGAUUAUAAAAUAAAUUGAAGAAAGGUACCAAGGUAUUUAAAAGUGAGUAGUUAUGUGUUUACAUAUCUGACACUGGCUACUGAAUACAUUAGACGUAUCGUCCAAAUCUACAACUUGUGUGUGAUGAAUAACGUGAGACCUUCUGAUCCCGCGGAGGAUGAACUAUAAUAAAAUUUGUAUUUAUGAUAUUAUUUGACGUAUGUUGUUAAUUGGUUAUUUCUUUGACUAAUUAUAUACUUAGUUGAUAAUUUGGACGAUUCUAUGAACGCAAUGGCGAUUAAUAAAAUUGUUGUACACAU